CGCGCCCUGCCAGCCGGCUCCUGCGGUCCCCGCCUCCCCUCGCGCCGCCCGCGGGCGGAUCCACGGCAGCUGCUAUUUCUGGGCCUCUGGCCGCGCCGAGGGUCACGUGGCCGCCGCCGGCUCCUCCCGGGGGUGCGGGGAACCUCGCCGGCAGGCUCCCAGGACCGCCCCUGACGGCGUCAGCCCCCGGCCCCCCGCCCGCGUGCCCCUGGCGUCCUGGCACCCGGCCUCCUCCUUCCGGCCAGCCCGGCCUCGGACCCGGCUCCCCAGAGAGCUUACCCCACCCCCGGCCCCCGGCUCGCAGGCCGCGGGGUGGAGGGAGGACCGGUGCGGCCCGCGGAGGCGGGGGCCCACGACUGGACACUGCAUCCCCCUCGGUAAAGGAGAUGUCCACCCGGGAUCUGCGGGGAGCAAUUUGAAGCCUAAGCGCACUGGACAGAGGCAGUCGGACGGAAGGAGGGUCUGAUCAUGCAGCCCGCCUCUCCCGCAGUUCCUCGUGCGGUGGGGAGGUGGCUUCAGUGUACCUCCAGGUCGCUUACCAGUCUCAGCCCCACGUUCGCUUUUCCAUAUGUCAUCGGAAGUGAUUCUAGAAGCAAAGGCCUAUUCCUACCCCCAAAUCAGGCUGGUCCCCGUCUGAAAAGGGAAGCGCAUUGUAGGCAGGAAGCUGCUGUGCAGGGCACAGACAAUGCUGCAGCUUGGGGUCAGACCUCCGGCCUCAGACCCCCGGCUAGAAACAGGCGGCUUGGCGGACCUUUUGCAUCCUUCCAAGGUGGGAUUGGGGGUCUGCGGGCUUGUCUCCACAGUGGUGCACACACCUCAUCCACUACAGAAAUGUCAGCCUUUUGGACAUAGGUACUUGAGUUAGGUGUGGCAUUUCAGAUUGGAAACAACUUUCUUUAAACUUUAUCCCCUAACCAAACUCUCAGGCCUCUGUCCUGACCUUGCAGUUCUCCAGUGAACCACCGCCCCACCUUAAUUACCUGGGUUUUGCUCCUAGUGCUGCCACUUUGAAGCUACCCACCACCCAGGUGACCCCAUACUGUGGGAACGUCCAAUCACGACCUCCGGAGAGAAAUUCUAAAAGGCCAGAGUCAAAAUAGUGCCCUUCUCUCAAAGAAAAGCCCUGGCAGUUGGCAGUGAAUCCCCCAGGGCAGUAGCUUCCCCUGGCUUGGGCAGGCUUGGAGGAUUACCCACUCACAUAAAUCAGGACUAAAUUGUUCAAAAAGUAGCCAUGGAUGAAAUACAGGUCUUAUUCAGCGAGGAGAUUAUUGUAUCGAUACCUGUCCUUGGUUUAGUAUCUAAAGCAAGGACAGGAUGAAAAGAGGCCUGCCCAGAGUCUCCCAGCACUGGGCACUGGGCCCCCUGUCUUCAGAUCCCCUGAGCAGAGGACAAGUGCCACACAGCCGCAGAGCGGCCGUGGUCAAGCAGCUCUGGCAAGGCCACCUCACAUCCCCGGCAGAACAACUUGAAUCUCCACGUCCUAGUGCUUCCCUUUGGCCUUGCGUCUCACUUCCCCAAAGUCAACCACACCAGUUCUCACUUCCUGAAAGUUGGCCAAACCAGGGUGGGAGGUUUUCCAUUAACACUGCAAUAGGUCCCUAAGGGCAGGACCACCCCAGACAAGUGGCCUGGCAGAAUUUCUCAUCUGAUGCCCUGUUCUUCUUUCAUUCCUCCCAUUCCUCUCGCUUCUGCACUGGCCUAGGUGUCUGCCAUGCUUAUGUGGUUUCUGGGUUCCCCCCUAGUAGUCGCUCAUCUGGCUUUCCCCUUGAGAAUCACCCACCUGUUUUAUUCUCCCCACACUCACCCCGUUAAAAUCUCCUCACUCAUGUCUCAUUCUGACCAGGCGAGCACUUCACAAAGUGCCAACACUUUGUGGACCACCAUCGUGGAUUUAUACCCUCUCCUGGGCCAAGUCAUCCUUGGGGGCUUAAGAACUGGCCUCAAGCAAACCCUGGUCCCAGGAGCCACCCCAAAGUGAUGCACCAGGCUCUCCCGGACAGGAGAGACAGUGGCUGCUCCCAGACGCAUUUGGGGAGUGUCUGUCCAGGGCAGGUCUCCACUUGUUAAAGGUAUAAUGUUCCCUAGGAAUGUGUUUAUCAUACUCUAGGAUGACUGUCAGAAGGGCCCAGCCUGACUUCUCUGGAAUUCUCUGCAAAUGCAAAGAGGUUCUGACGUAACUUAAGCAGAGAUAAAAAUCCAAAGGUAUGUAACUGAGGGCUUAUCAAAUUUUUAAAAGAUGGAAUAGGCAAAAGUUUCCCGUGAAAUCUUUGUAAACCAAAAGGUCGUUGGGCUAAUUUGAAUUUAUGCUUUUCUGCUGCUGUGAAGUCCUCGGUGGCACCUACAAGCUGCAGUUAAACCCUUAAGUACAUCUUGUGAUAAUGCUGCGCCAAAACCAGCCUCUUCUCUGCCUGCUGGUAGAACCCAUCAAUCUCCAAAAAUGUGCUCAGCUGCCACCUUCCAGGGAGGUCUCUGCCUGGGCUUGCACGUGCUCUACUCACAGCUCUCUAGCAUUGACUCAGCAGCUCACUUGCCUUCCUGUCCCCUGUGAGGGUCCUGCCCAUUAUCCUUGGAGCCAGUAGAACUGAAGCCAGAUUCAGUUCAGAAGCAAAGAAAAGCUUAACUCUUCAAUCAAAACAUGGAGAGAUGGGAGGUCAUGCUCCAGAACACCCGCUCUGCCUACAGCAGGGCUGGGCUGCUUUGGGGGGAGGGGGCGGGGUUCUCUCAGGCAUCCAGGCACAGCUGCUGCCCUCGCUCCAGAUGGCAGUGCCGGGUGCAGCAUCUUUGCACACGGCCCGCCAUGGCAACUCAGAGUUGGGGGCGGAGCUUCUGCACAGGUUCCUGAGCUGAGGCGUCGUCGCCACCAUUUUGCACCAGGAACCCUGUUCUGAGUUGUCCAGCUCCAGGCUUCUGCACACAGUGCCCUGGGAGCCAGGGGACUAGACUCAGCCCAGAAACAAGGUUAGGCUUUAUUUCAUCACUCAGAUUCUAUUUUUAUUUCCCGAUUAUUGUUAAUGGACUUUGCUGGUGACAAACAUAAUUAGCCACUAAAUCCCUUUUACAACUGGUCAGGGUCUAAACUUAUAAUAGAAUUAUCUAUCUGUAUGAGAGGUACCUACAGAAGAAGCUGGAGUCACCUCUGUGUCACCAGGGUGUGAAAAUGACUAGAUUAGGGGUGGGGGGAAUGGGACUAUGCCACAGAAAAGAAAGGUGAUUAGAAAUUAAUCUUUUCACCUCAGUCUGUGUAAGACUUUUCCCUGCAGGGUCUCUGGCCUCUCAUGUAAUUCAAAUGAGACGCCUCUGUUUGGUGGGUCUGAAGAUCUGGGAGACCCCAGGACUGGUGUGUCCACAUAACAGGAAGGCUGACCUUAAUACUCACCCUGGACCUCACCUCAGAAGGUUCUGGGUGGGGAUUUCUUCUAAAAGAAAUGAGUAAUUCACCAACAAAUAUUAUUUAGUAAAAGUUUACAAAGAGACAGGAAAAAUUGCCCCAUUCUUUUUUUUUAAUCUAGUUAAUAACAGUCAUAAAACUGACUGUGUUGCUUGAUCCAGCAAACCCUCUUUCAGACAAUAACAUAGAAAAACACACAGAAAAGUGAGCAAAUAGAAGCCUGACUGUGUACAAACAGACAUGCAC
ensembl:lncRNA